AGUGAACGCUGGCGGUAGGCCUAACACAUGCAAGUCGAACGGCAGCACAGUAAGAGCUUGCUCUUACGGGUGGCGAGUGGCGGAUGGGUGAGGAAUACAUCGGAAUCUACUUUUUCGUGGGGGAUAACGUAGGGAAACUUACGCUAAUACCGCAUACGACCUACGGGUGAAAGCAGGGGAUCUUCGGACCUUGCGCGAUUGAAUGAGCCGAUGUCGGAUUAGCUAGUUGGCGGGGUAAAGGCCCACCAAGGCGACGAUCCGUAGCUGGUCUGAGAGGAUGAUCAGCCACACUGGAACUGAGACACGGUCCAGACUCCUACGGGAGGCAGCAGUGGGGAAUAUUGGGCAAUGGGCGCAAGCCUGAUCCAGCCAUGCCGCGUGAGUGAAGAAGGCCUUCGGAUUGUAAAGCCCUUUUAUUGGGGAAGAAAAGCAGCAGAUUAAUACCCCGCUGUUCUGACGGUACCCAAAGAAUAAGCACCGGCUAACUUCGUG
rnacentral:rRNA from 1 species